rnacentral:tRNA from 1 species
GCCUGGGUGGCUCAGUCGGUUGAGCGUCUGACUUCAGCUCAGGUCACGAUCUCGCGGUCCGUGGGUUCGAGCCCUGCGUCGGGCU